UACGUAGGGGGCUAGCGUUGUCCGGAAUCAUUGGGCGUAAAGAGCGUGUAGGCGGUCCGGUAAGUCCGUUGUGAAAGUCAAGGGCUCAACCCUUGAAUGCCGGCGGAUACUGUCGGGCUAGAGUCCGGAAGAGGCAAGUGGAAUUCCCGGUGUAGCGGUGAAAUGCGCAGAUAUCAGGAGGAACACCAAUGGCGAAGGCAGCUCACUGGGACGGUACUGACGCUGAGACGCGAAAGCGUGGGGAGCAAACAGG
rnacentral:rRNA from 1 species